AUUGAACGCUAGCGGCAUGCCUUACACAUGCAAGUCGAACGGAGUGGCGAACGGGUGAGUAAUGUAUCGGAACGUGCCCAGUAGUGGGGGAUAACUACCCGAAAGCGUAGCUAAUACCGCAUACUAUUGGAUGCGCCUAUUUCGGAUUCGCUAGUUGGUGGGGUAACGGCCAACCAAGGCGACGAUCCGUAGCUGGUUUGAGAGGACGACCAGCCACACUGGAACUGAGACACGGCCCAGACUCCUACGGGAGGCAGCAGUGGGGAAUUUUGGACAAUGGGGGAAAGCCUGAUCCAGCCAUGCCGCGUGUGCGAUGAAGGCCUUCGGGUUGUAAAGCACUUUUGGCAGGGAAGCGGUACCAGCAGAAUAAGCACCGGCUAACUACGUGCCAGCAGCCGCGGUAAUAC
rnacentral:rRNA from 1 species